GGGGGCGACCUGGUUUCGACGUGGGUCGCGAAACCCGAAGUGCAUGCCGAGGUGCAGGAUUCCUCGCAAAACUGUCUUGCAAAAACGCUAGCUGCGAACGAUAGCAACUACGCCCUAGCCGCCUAAUCCCGGCUAGCCUCUGACUGGAGCCGUGCUUGUGCGUCCAGAGUCUCUUCGGGGACGCUUCAGAGGUCGUGCUCACAAGAUCGCGGUACGGUGCAUCCGGCGCCAGACUGCUAAAAAAUACCGGACUCGCUGUCGGUUUUCCCUGCCCGUCGGGUAGCCGCCAGUUAAAUCAAAGACGUGUGCUACGCAUGUAGAGCUGAGGGCGGA
rnacentral:tmRNA from 1 species